rnacentral:lncRNA from 1 species
AGCCUGACCCUCUUCCCUCAAGCCUGAUGAUCUUAUCCCAAUUCCCCAAAUUUUGUUUGAGGUUUCCUUCCUUGUCUCGUAGGGAGGUUUCAGUUGCUUCAGAGUUAUAGUGCCCUACUCAUGUUGAAGACCUGCCAAGGGGGAAAGAACCUGAGGUUUCUACAGAAUCCAGAUGACUUCCCUUCUGGCCCAGCGCUUUAAACACUUGCCUACCUAUAUGACCUUGCUAAUAAAUGAUGAGGAAGAUAAAUUGACUCGAUUUUUAUGGAGAGAGAACAAUUGACAAGAAUAAUGAAAAUGACCUGAUGUGGCUUCCCUCUAAUUGGAUGCAAACUCUUUAAAGGGUAAGGACUUUAAUUUUUUUGU